CUGUGCAACGUCAGCAGUACACACUGUGCCCUGAACGCCUGCUGAAAGGCUGAUUCUUGUUAACUAGAAGGAAAAGCAGAGACUGGAACUUGGCUGUAUCCUUCACUGCGCAGUUCCCAUGGAAACCACACCAAUGAACAGGCCGUAUGCAAUCUAUCAUCAGACUUGAUUCUGCAACCAUAGCUCCCUGGCUUGGGGCCAGUGGUCAGCGGCGGGAAGCUGUGCAAGGCUGCCUGCCUGCCUGUGUCCACUUCAGGAUGGCUCCCAUUUCAUUUCCAAGGAUGCUGCUUUUCAGACAAUCUGGCCACGUCACCAGGUGACCCAGAGACUUGGAUGAUGCCUGAGUCCCCAGUACCAUCUCUCCUUCUUUGGCUCCAAGUUACCAGGCUGAUCUGGGGGUGCACUAACCCAGGGGGUUCACGACCUUCCCCAGGAAAAGCAUGCUGCCUGUUUCUGUGUGGAAAGUCAUCAGCAGGAAGGGCCUGCUGAGCUCAGCAGGGCCCGGCAGUGCUGGGGCCUCAGCAUCCAGGUGGGGUCUGGGAGUGAGCUGAACAGCGGUGGUGGCGGCGGCCUCAGAGCCCUCCUCGCCCACUGUCAUCCUGGGCUGAUGAGUCACCUGCAAGGCAAAUUCUGGAAUCAUCGAUCCACCCCACAGGAAGGACCAGCUGUGCCUUGACUUUAAUCCCAGUUUUCCUUCUAUUCCUUUACACAACCAUAUACUGUUCACUUACCACCCACCCUUUCUUCUACCUAAAAUAACUUUCUGAAAAAUUUACUUAUCUAUCUACUACACCCAUCAUUGACCUACUUACUUAUUUAUUCAUCCACACACCCAGCAAACCAUAAUCCAUCCACGUAACUGCGAACCAUCUGCGUAUCCAUAGCUAUACCUGCCCGCCUCUCCUGUGUUCACAUGCCCAUCCUUCUGCCCAUUUACUCACCCACCCAUCCACCCAUCCACUCACCCAUCCACCCACCCACCUGCCCAGCCAUCCCCAUCCAUGGUUCCGUCUAUCCACUAUUCAUCUAUCCAUUCACCUAUCCACCUGUCUACGCAGGUAUUUACAUCCUCGUGCCUGGCAUCUGCAUUGUUAGUUGUGGUGCACUUGGAACGUCACACCAGCGCCUAACUACUCCCGUCUCCAUCUGUUGCUCCACACACCCACUCUUUCCUCCCAUCACUACUUACUGAUCCUUUCAUUCACUUCAAUCUGAUAAUUCCUUUUCAUUCAUCCCAUCACUCAUUCAUUCAUGAAUGUAUUCAGUAAGCAUUUACGGAGGACCUACCCGCUGUUUGCAACCCAAUGUCUCGGUGCAGUAGGGACUAGGAAACGAAUGGGGAUGACUCCCAAAGGCUCAUGGCCGGACAAGGAAGGAAAACGCCUAAACGUGAGCCAGAGAGUUACCAGGAGAGAAUGUGCUUCUGCCUGGGAGUAAGAUUAGAGAAGUCUGCACGGAAGAAGUGAAGUAGCAACAUGCACUUACUCAGGGCCAUGAGUGGCAAGUAGAGUUUGCGUGUUUGGAGGUGGGAAGGCCUGCGAGGUGGUCUGAAAACAGUCUGCCGAGGGAGGGAGGGACAGCAGGGGACAAGGCUGGGCAGGGAUGCUGGGGGCAGAAGCUGGGGCAACUGUGGGAGUGGUCAGUUUUCAUGGAGGCUUCUGGGGGAAAGGGUGGGUUUAGCCCCAUUUUCUCUCCGACUCGCUGGGCUCGCUUGUCUUCCCACCGAGCCGGGCCAUGGCCAGGAGGCCUUCACCCGAUGCCGUUCCUGGGUCUCGGUUUUCCCAGCCUCCAGAGCCAUGACCAGAAUAGACUUCUACUGUUUAUAAAUUUCCCAGCCCAUAGCACUCCACUACAAAAGCAGAAAAUGGACAAAGAUACCUGCUAAGCCUCAGUUUCCUCAUCUGCACAAUGGGACAGCAGCACUGCCCUCGUCAGUCUGCUGGGAGGUGCCGUGGGUCCCCUGAGAAACAGCAGCACCGGCUGAAUGUCCCGGGGGAUGGGAAGGGGACAAGGCCUUGGGCUCAAUCCCCAGUGCAAAACCAAACCAAACCAAACAGAAACCAAAGCGGGAGGCUGAGGCAGAAAGACUGCAAAUUUGUCUUGCUUGGGCAAUUUCGUCUCAAAAUAAAAAAUUAAAAAGGG